GGGACAGUGUAUAACAAAGGGUGUUGUGACAGAGAGCCAAAGCCUCUUUGGCCCUCCACCCAGCAUCCAGUCAUGGAGGCCCCCCAGCAGGGAUUUCUUCAUCCCCUGAGCCGUGAGAUGCCCCUGGUGCUAUGGUGGAAGCCUGGACUGGAAGUGGAUGACAAGUUGGCCAGCAGAGGUGUCAGAGGGCAGGUUCCAGGGAAUACAAGGGUCAGACUUGUGCUCCUGGCCCUUGGUCACUUCUCGUCUUCCUGACAGAGUAGUGGGCUCCACUGUUGGGCACAUCUUCCUGGAAGUCGUCUCUUGGCCCGCCAUUGCCGAGCGGCCACACCUGCUGCAGCUCGUGUGAGCAAAUAUGGCUCUGGAUCCUCUUUCCUGCUUUGAAAGCAGCUUCCAUCCUGAAGGCGUCCAGAGGGUAUGUGUCCUGGCC
rnacentral:lncRNA from 1 species